UACCAUUGUGGCUGACACCAUUGUUGCUUUCGAACCAAGGAAAAAUUAUCUUGCUCAAUACCAUCUCGAUAGUGGCACGUUAUCGGCAGCAUCAGAUGGAUGUACACCAGGGGUUGCUUUUCUAAGUCCUUGCAGCAUAAUUUACCAUAUCUUUUCCUGCUGCUUUCGUGAGUACUGGAACAAAGGACAGAUAAUCCGCCAUGGGAAUUUGAAGCAGUGGAGGGUGAAGAGAAAGUGGCGACAUGGGGCGUAAACGGCUCCUGUACCUUGGUGGAUUAUUUUUACAUUAUGGGAUUCUUAAUUAUUGGCAUAUGUAUUUACCCUUGCGCAAGAACAUAGUUACGUACAUCGAUGGUGUUUUAUAUUUAGCCAGGCAAUAAUUUCCCAUUCAAAAAGCUAAUUCAACUUCUCUAGUUGCCCGGGGUAACAUAAAUGUCUAGUGGCUUUCUGAACUUCUGAAACGACUAUGACCAUGAACAUUGGGGUUUUGGUGUUCUUGCCCCUAUUUGGAAUGUCAAUGGUGAUUUUACCCCUCCUUUUUGUAUUGAGCGUUUUUGCCCUCACUUUUCAAAAAUGAAGAUCCAGUUUGCCCUAUUCUAUUAAA